rnacentral:lncRNA from 1 species
CUCCAACAAAAGAGAGUCCAUUCUCGAUUACUUAUGGUGACGAGGCUAUGAGCCAAGUAGAAAUCAUAUUGCUUUCUCCAUGUCGAUUACACUUCGGUGAAAUAUCAAAUGAUGAAAUCAAAAGGUGUGAACUUUUUUCUUAAUGAAAAGAGAGAUGACUCUCAAUUGAAAUUGGCUAUUUACCAAAGAAAGAUAACCCGUUACUAUAAUGCU